rnacentral:snRNA from 1 species
AUCGCUUCUCGGCCUUUUGGCUAAGAUCAAGUGUAGUAUCUGUUUUUUUUUUUUUCUUUUUAAAAAGAUUUAUUUAUUUAUUGAGAGAGAGAGAGGAAUAGCA